CUAGAGAGGCUGUUGGCCUUCUGCAUGCAUGGCCGGAAGUGCCUGGUACUCAGCUGGCGCUCCAACCCUCCCAUUUGGUCUCCAACCUCUAGUUUGUUAGGAGGCUGUUAGAGUCCAUGUGCGUGAUUCCCGGCAAGCAGCUCGAGGUCUUCGCUGGCUUGCUGGCCCUGUCGCUCUGUUUGUUCUCUAUUGCUCAGUAGUCGUCAACACCCCCAGAAGCAGGAAUGAACGUGGUGCCUUCUCCAGCCCGGGUUCCAGGACAAAGUCUGAGGCUGAGGUUGUCACUGAUGCCUUUGACGGCAGGAUGCAAUUCUUGAAAGAAAAUAAGAAACCCAAGGGUACAGAAAAGUGCUGAUCAAAAAUCAGAGAUAAGAAAGAACAUGGUCAACAGACACAUUUUGGAAAAAUCCAGAAAUGCAUAGUUAAGUGACUGGGAGAUCUGAAAUAAAAGGAGGAAAAAGAGAAAGGUCAGAAGCAUGCAGAAUUUUUAAACAGAUACUAUAUCAAGCAUAUUUUCUUAUCCACUUUCCAUUACACCUAAAAAACAUACAUAAGCUCAUAAUUUUAAAUGUUUAGUACAACUCUUUCACUUCUCUUUCUACCUAAACAUGUAAUACAAUAUAUAUAAAAUAAUGUCCUUGAUCCUUUCAUUUUGCAGAUUUCAUGUGAAGCCAUACAUAAUAAUCAUACAAAAUUUAUCAUACUUUUUGAACAGAAUCUCAAUCUGUUUUAUUUCUUUGCCCCUAACUACAGCUGGAUGCUAGAACUAGAUAUGUUAAGCAUAGGUUGUCUGUAUUUGUGAAUGGCCUUUUGUCCCCAGAAAGGGGCUUGAAUCAUGUCAACAGGAUUGGUUACAGGUAAAUGCAAUGCUUGGUCUUUGAUGUAGACAAUGGAGUGCUAGGUCUAAAAUAGUCCUCUAUUAUUUUACUCUUUUAAAAUAUAUUGUUUAAAUUCUUGAGACCAAAGGAAGGAAAGAAUAUGAGUGGUUUCAUUUCUACCUGUGCCUGGUGCAGACUAAGGGAACAUUGUUUUGUGGGUGGUAAUAAAUGUCUUGUAAUUCAUGUACUUUAUUAUUUGUGUUUAUGAGAUGUAGCUAAUCAGGUUAGAAGAGUGAAGGUUGAGCUAUAUUCCUAUGUAUGUGUCUCCUUAGGCUGUGAGUUCUUUGAGGGCAGGCUCUAAACAUAUCUGAUUCUGUAUCUCCAGAAUAGUAUUUGCAUAAAAUAGGGCUCCAAAUUCUUACUGACUGACUGACUGAAUAAAC